UACAGAGGUCUCAAGCGUUGUUCGGAUUCAUUGGGCGUAAAGGGUGCGUAGGUGGCGCUGUAAGUCGGGUGUGAAAUUUCGGAGCUUAACUCCGAAACUGCCUUCGAUACUGCGGUGCUUGAGGACUGGAGAGGAGACUGGAAUUCCUGGUGUAGCGGUGAAAUGCGCAGAUAUCAGGAGGAACACCGGUGGCGAAGGCGGGUCUCUGGGCCGAUAUUGACGCUGAGGAGCGAAAGCGUGGGGAGCAAACAGG
rnacentral:rRNA from 1 species